AACUAAAACAAGAUACAAGAUAGGUAGUUAGACAAGUGUUGAUGUAGUCUUAACAACCCAAGAGCAUAUUCCACUCUUGGACCUUUAAAACUUCACACAAAAAACACCUAGCUCUUACAAUUGACACAAGAGAGGCAUCCACCACCCAAGCACCAACGUAUCAAGCAAAAUGCAGCACACAAGAGAAUCCACCCUUAUGUUAUGCCUUAGUUUCAAUUGGACUCUCUCUCACUCUAAGAGAAUUAUUCUUCAAUAAUAAUGAUCAACUAAAGAAAUAAACCCUACAAUGUUCUAUUUAUACUACAUUACAAUAAUAGACAAAAUGACAAAAGGGCCCUUUAGUGACUAAUCUUCAAAAAUACUCAAAAGUGUCACGAUCAUGAUCAUACUUGUAUCAUCCUUUCCAUCUUAAGAGGAAUUUUCCCACAAAUUCAUAACCUCACCUCUUUUACAAAGGCACUUCACAAUCUCCUUCACACGGCCACACAUCUUCUAUAUCUUCCUCGCCUUGCAUUUUAACCUCUUUUUUCUCUCUAUCUUAAGGCUUGCCAUCAACCUUAGCCGAUUCAAUUACUACUUCUUCCCCAAGACAGUACAAUAUUCCCUCCCUUAGGAUCACGUUCCUCCAGUUUGGGCACUCACUAGCCUUGUGCCUCCACCCUUGGAAUUUGAAACAUUGAAAUCCCUUGGGAUUAGAAGUAGAAUUCAAUUUACCUUCAUACCUUAGAGGAUGUUUUUGGACAACCUUGGUGGCCUCGGGUUGGGUAGCCAUGAAUGAGUUAUCUUUGAGCUCCCUCUCAACCUCUAAAACCGCAUGGAAGAUGCCAUCUAUGGUGUUGAAUUUUUGAAGCGUCAUGCGAGUAGAGAUGUCCUUUUUUAACCCAACCUUGAAGCAUACAAUGUCAUGACUUACUUGCUCGUCUCAGUGGUUAAGUUUCAACAUCAAUUGUUGAAAUUCAUCGUAGUAAGCCAUGACACUCUUGUUCCCUUGCCUCAAAUUGUACAAUUUAGCAAGGAGCUCAUGCCUAGAUGUCUCGGGCAAGUACCUUUGUCGUAUAAGUUUCUUCAAUCAAAACCAAGGAGGAGGUUGUCCCCCAAUCAUCUCAUUCCCAAACCGUUUAACAUGCUCCCACCAUGUAUUAGCAUACCCUUCGAAGUGAGCUAUAGCAUAAAAACUUUUUUUUCUUCAGUGAGAUCAUUAAGUUGGAAGAUCUUGUCACAAGAUGACUCCCAUGCAAGGUAGGCUUCGGGAUCACUCUUACCUUUGAAAAUGAAAAGGCUCACUUUGAUGGAAUUGAGACCUAUAUCUUGGUUUGGGAGGCCAUCUCUCACCUCAUGUCCUAACUCCCCAUGUCUAUACCUCAUUCUUUUUUCCCUCAAGUAAACAUCAUCAUACGGAUCGUAACCAUCAUGUUGUCCUCCCCUACCAUAUCCCUCAACAUGGAUGAGUCUAUUUGGGUUAAGUGGAGCUUGUAGUGGCGGGAUUGGAUUUGGAUAGUUAGGUCCUUGGUCAAGUGAAGUUUGGAUGGGAGGGUUCGGGUUUGGUGAUGGUAUUUGGGUUCCAAGCCCUUCUGGUUGGACUUGGUGGAGUGGAGGAUGGCUUGGUCUAUCUUGUUCUCGGCUUCGGGAGUAAAGAUUGGUUUGAUUUAUGGCAAUUGGUGUAUAGUCCAUUUCGUGCAAGGUCUUAGGAGUAUUAGUUGGGGAAAUGUUUUAAGGGUUAGAAGGUCGACUCCUUUGGCUUUCCACACGUUCUAAUCUCCCACUCAUUGAUGCCACAUCCGUAUCUAAUUUCUCAAGACCCAUAUUCAACCUAGCCACAUCUCGGGACAUAGAUUCAAGGCGAGCCAAAAUGAGAUUGAUGGCAUUAUUAUCCAUUGUUUGAGCAUUUGAAGCCUGGGGUUCCAUUAUGGUGGUAUCAAAAAUAACCCUUCAAGUUAUGGUCCAAUUAAGAUACGAAAUCAGUCCGCAACGUCACACACAAAAAGAGAAUGCAAAUCCUACAACACAAAACACACGUUAUUUCAAAACAACCUCCCACAAUGAGAUCCCACCUUCAAGUUUCUUCAAACUCAAGCUCAACAUUGGUGGAUGACUCAAAUAACCUCGAAUUUAGCUCAAAUUCAAACCCUAUGCUCCUAUAGUGUUAGAGAACACAAAUCUAACACUAAAAACACAAGAAAAAUACAAAAUCAAAAACUCAAAAUUUGACCUAGGGUCAAAAACGGGUUUAGUAUAUUUUGGGAAGAUUUUCGAUUUUGACAUUUCUUUUUUUUGUUGGGAUAUUUAAUUUCUGUACUCUAAUAUUCUUAGUGAACAAGAUCUAACACCAGAAACACACAAAAAAUCAAGUUUUUUGAAAGAUCUUAAAAACGUGAACAAUAACUUUUUUUUUUCAAGAUAACAAGCCCAAGAUUGAUUUUGUUGGAACAAAAUCAAACCUUUCUUUGAUACCAAAUGAUAUGGAAUAAACAAGGGAACAUGAAAUCACAGCCCAAAACAGUCCAAAAAUCACAACAAAUCGUGGACCAAAUGGGACCUCUCUCGGAUUCACUAUCUAGAACAAGAAAGAAGAGGAUACAAGGUGUUAAUACACCAAAAUAGCCAGCCAACAACAAGUUUAGCAACACAAGAUGAAGCUCCACAAUAUUAUACAAUAGCAACAAGAACAAACGGGUUACAUUAACAACACAAGAAGCCGAAACUAAAACAAGAUACAAGAUAGGUAGUUAGACAAGUGUUGAUGUAGUCUUAACAACCUAAGAGCAUAUUCCACUCUUGUAACUUUAGAACUUCACACAACGAGCAUAUUCCACUCUUGGACCUUUAAAACUUCACACAACAAACACCUAGCUCUUACAAUUGACACAAGAGAGACGUCCACCACCCAAGCACCAACGUAUCAAGCAAAAUGCAACACACAAGAGAAUCCACCCUUAUGUUAUGCCCUAGUUUCAAUUGGACUCUCUCUCACUCUAAGAGAAGUAUUCUUCAAUAAUAAUGAUCAACUAAAGAAAUAAACCCUACAAUGUUCUAUUUAUACUACAUUACAAUAAUAGACAAAAUGACAAAAGGGCCCUUUAGUGACUAAUCUUCAAAAAUACUCAAAAGUGUCAUGAUCAUGAUCAUACUUGUAUCAAAAGUUAACAGUUUCAAAUUCUUCUUCGUCAUAUUUAUCCGAAGGCCUCUUUUUGCUGACAUGAAAUUUGAUUGGUGCUUUUUUUAUUAGAAAAGAUUAAUUUAGUCUCCAACAUAAUUAAAAUUUGUGAAGAAGAAGAGAAUUUCAAUCAGUGAUGAGAUGUGAUAAUAAUCUUAAUGAGAAAUAAUUUGAGUGGUUAAAGGAAUGAAAUAUCCUUGGGCAAAAUCUUGAUCGUUUUUAAAGUCAUAAACGGCAAAAUUUUCAAUGACAAUUUAAUUAUUUUAAUAAUAUUCAAAACUUAAAAUUAUAUUCUUUGGCAUGAUCCCGUGAUGUGUUUUUUUUUUUUUAAUAUCAACUUUGUUUAAGCUUACAAGUAUUUCUUUUGUUUAUUAAACUUUACGAGUUAGAAUAUAACUUUGUUAAUGGGUCUCCAACUUUGUGAUGUAUAUUGUAUUGUAAAAAAGAUUAUUAAUAUCGAUAAUAAAUAUUUUGUCAUGAUAAAACAAGCAUAAUCAUGAGAAAUGAAAAAAAGAUCAAGUGAGACACUUAAUAUAUUUGAGAUAUAAUAUUAUUUACAUAUCGUUUAAAUAUACAUAAGAUUUAUUUUAACGCCAAUUUUUUUUUAAUAAUAUAAAUUUUUUUGUCUGUAUAAUCUAAUUGAUUGACAUGAGAAAUACGUGUAAAGCAUGUAAACUAAACUAAUAACCUCUAAAUUAAUAAACUAAUAGCAUUUGAUCUAACUCAACAAUCACACUCUUUAGCUUCAUUUAUUAUUAUCUGUUUUAAAAGUAAAUUUAUAUAUACAAUUUUGUUUUUACUGUUGUACUUUAAUAUUUAAGUUUACUCCAUUAAAUUUCAAAACGAUUUAGGUUAGCGAAUUGAAUUUUUUCUAAUAUAUUUAAUAUUAGAUAAAUAACAAGUUAGUGUGAUUCUUUUUCCAAUGUUGAUGAGAACAAUAUUAAUUAAGCGAGAUGCUUAAGAAAAUUAGUGUGAUUCAUUUUCCAAUGUCCUUAACUAUUCUUUUAUAAAAAAACAUAUAAAAUAUAUUUUAAUGAUGAAUAAUCACUUUUACUUUUUUUCUUAUUUUAGUUCUAAAUAUGAUCUAUUUGCAAUAUCAAGCUACUUAAAGAAAAGUAAUAAAUGUUUAUUGUGAGUACAAUCUUCAAAAUCAAAGAUAAAUUUAAUAAUAAAAUUUAAAAUUAAUUUUAUCCCACUUUCUUCAUUUUAUCUUUUUAAUAAUAAAGUUUAGAUUAGAGUGAAUGUGUUUUAUCAAAAUCAGGAAAUAGCUGCAUUGAAAUGUGAAAAUCGUUCGCUGCUUAUGAAAAUGAAAGAGUUGGAAGCAACCCUCAAUGCGGAGUUAGAAGUUAAAGAAAAACAAUUACAAAGCUAAAGCAGAAGCCCAAGGAACGAGAUGACACUAUAAAUUUUUAUAGUUGUGUAUUUGAAGCAAUGGAAAGAGAAGCGGGAGGAUUAAAGUAAAAGCUAGAGGGCGUUAGUCAGUAGAAAAAAGGCAAAUUUGCUUUCUACUGUGAAGAAUAAAUUAACAAAAAUACGUAUUAAAGGUUGCAACGUAAAGUCUCAGAACUGAAAAAUAAAUUGGAGAUUUAGGGUAAUAAGAUUUCUAAAAGGGUUAUUGAUGAGAACGAACAAGUUGGUGGGUCUUCUGGUGUGAACACAUAUUGAUGUGCAUGCAUGUUCUGUUGUUACUUUUGAAGGAGUUUUUCUUAAGCGAGCAUUUCGGUUGAACUAAUUUAUUGAACAAAAAUGUAAUUGUAAUUGUUAUUUCUAUAAGCGAACGUUUUAUUGAACUAAAACGUUGAAUAGAAAUAUAGCUGUAUUGUUAUUGAAGAUAUGAACUUAGAAAGGUAAGUUGAGUUAUUGUUCAUAUCUUAAUAGUUUUUUUUGGACAUCUUUGAAUGAGUAUAUUUGGACCUUUGUCUAUCAUCUUCUAAAAUGUUGUGAAUUUUUUAGAAAAGGAAUUUUUUAAUGCUUUUUUGUCCCUUCCUCUUCAUCUCAAGGAAUGUUUUAAAAAAAUUAUUUUAUAUUAAAAAAAAUCUUUAUUUAUACAUAAUCAAUGUUGCUUUGAUAAUUUUCUCACGUGUUUAAAUAUGAAAAUCCUCUUUUCUUAUAUAUAUUACAAUCGUAAAACACACAACCUAGUGCACUAAAACUUUCGCCAUACACAGAGCAUUUAAAGUUUGAUUAUUUUUCAAAAGGAUAUUUAAAUGCUCUGAGCAUGAAUAUGAAUUGGAUAUUUCAAAAAUACUACAUCAAUCAUAUUGCAUUAAAAAGUACUUACUAAAUCGUAUAUCUGUGUUGAUGUAUUUAAAAAUAGAAACAAUUCUUUCUAUUGGGUUAAGCUCUAUAUAUGUGGAUAUUCAAAUAAAAAAAUUAUAACAAACUAUGUUGGUGUUUGAAAAAAGAUUUUGAAAGUAGACUUUGAAACUUUAUCUUCAAAUAAUUUUUUGGUUAUAAAUUAAAUCUUCAAAUAUUUUCAAGUUUUCAAAAUUAUUAUCAAAGAUCAAUUUUAGAGGUUUUCACUAACAAAAUUUUAAUUCUUUAUCAAAUAAAAAGCAUGUCAAAACAUCACUCAAAAUUAUAAAAUGAUAUUUUGAAAAUUCAAAUUUUUAAAUUUCAAAAUCUAUGAUUAAAUAAGGUUGAAUAUAAUUAUUUAUUCUUUUUCAUUAUUAAAAAAGAGUUCUUAAAUAGAGGAAAUAUCUCUUAAGUAGCGUAUCUUAGCUAACAUGCAUCUUGAUGCAUAAUUAGGUCCUUCUUUUAUCACGUCAUCAUGCAUAUAAAAAACUCAAACAUUUUAUGAUUCACCCUACCUAGUUUCAAGAAUAGGUAUCGAAAAGACUUAAAGAAAUUAAAAUCUUUGAUGAAUUUUUUUUUAAAAUUUCGUUGGCAUCAUCACAUCGUAGGUUUUACCUUUGCCACUACCAUCAUUGUAACAAAAAAAAUACAACAAUAAUAAAAAUAAUCAAAUAUGAUCGAAUUUUAAUUUUUUUCUAUAAGAAAAUAAAAUAUUCUUUUGAAAUUUCUUCUCAUUUUUUUUAUAUCUUUUCUCUUUGUUUUUUUUCUACUCUAUUAAUUUCUUUAAAUACUGAAGAAGACGAAUGAUAAUGAUUAAGGUCAGAAAAUUUUUGAAAGAAACUGAAAGAGAAAAAAUUAAGUAGAAGAAAAAAAAGUGAGGAUAAGACUCAUGGCUUUUCAACACAAUAGAGGUGUUACUGUGUGUCUUUCACUAUUUAGCACAAAUAUAAGUGUGGCUUUUUAAAGGGGCAACUAUUCCACUUAAAAAUAGUUUGGAAGAGUGUAGGGAGUUAUAGUACCCUCGUCAAAAUUGAGGUGUCUUAUAACAAUGUUAAAGUUUAGGCAUAUUUAAGAUCUUUUUAAUUUUAUGCAUGUAUUAUAUUUAUAUUAUUUGUUAGUAAUCAAAUUGAAUCAAACUAAUCUAUUGUUCAUGCAUGUGCAUGCAUAUUAUUAUAUGAUCAAAUAGUAAUAUGAAUUAAGCUAAAUAAAUAGUUAUUAUACUACUUACGAAAGUAAACUUUGCGACAUUUAUUUUUGUAGUUAUGAAUAUUCAGAAUUUCACAUAUUAUGAUUGUUUUGAAUUUUAUCUUUAAACAUGGGAUUUGUUGUAACAACCUGAAAAUUUGAUAAAAUAUGUGAAAUUUAUGAUUUUAUGUGAUUUAACUAUUUUACCCUCCUCAUAGUUGUAUAAUGGUAUUUCUUUGGUGUGGGGGUGAUUGACAUAGUUUUUUUUGAAGCAUUUCGGUACCAUUUAUGCGAUAUUGUGAUUUUUGAUGGCUCCGAGAGCCUUAUUUUAAACUUAUGUGGAUAUCUUUUGAUCCAUACAAAAGAUAGCUGAACGAAUUGCAUCAGUAGCUCUGGAAUCAAUUUUAGACUAGGUAGACCUUUGGUUUGGGUCCUGGUGCACUCGAGCUCAUUUUGACCUGUUGAUCGGAAAGUUGGAAAAUUAAAAAUAUGAGUGUGAGACUCACAUUUGGUCAAAACAACCUCAGAUGGAAAAUACGACUUCACCAGUAGAUCCGGAACGUUGAUUUUAGGUUUUUAACAUAUUUGAUGUGAUUUUACGGAUUUUAAAUCUCAUUUCGACCCUCGGUUUGAAAAAUUAUGAUUUUGAGUUUCAAGGGUCAACUUUAUAAAAAUGACAUUUUUUUUGAAAAUUCGACUUCACCAAUGUGUUUAUAACAUUGAACUUAGUGUGGUUGUAUAGUUCAAUUGUGUAUAUCGAACUCCAAACAAAUCUCGAACAUUCUGUCGAAGUCUGUUAGACUUAAAAAAAAUUCUAUAACAGUAAAAUCUGUUACAAAUUGUAGAUUUCCCCCUCUUUUUUGGCCAAUUUUACUCAUUUUACAUCAUGCCUUUUGAGAGUUUAAUCUUAAAAUAGUCUGGAAGCUUAAAAGUGAAGCUUGGGGGAGCUUUGAUAGCUAGAUUAACAUCUAUUUCUUAAUUCUAUUAGGGAUUUAAGGUAAGAAUUUACCUUUUUCUUAGUAAUUUUUUGAUUAAUUUCUCAAAACCCCAAAAAUCUCAGGGCUUGAUUUUAAACCCCAAUUUCGCUCCUUUUUACUUGAAUAAUAUUUCUAUCUUAUAAUUACUUGUUUUUCAUCAAUUUAACCUUCAAAACAACUCUGAUUCUUUAUUUUAACCCGAAUUUCAAAGAUUUUGAUCGGUAAAGCUUAAAAAUGUUUUUUCUUUGAUUUGAAUCUCGUUUUUGACUAGAUUUGACUUGGGUUUUCAGCUAUAGCUUUAUAAAAAUAUGGGUAAUAUAUUUUUGAAGUAAAAUUAUGAUUUUUUCAUCGUUUUAGAAAAUCUAUUUUGGGGAUCUGUUUUGACCCCAAAUCAAAAGUAGUUAAUAUUGGUGUCAUUGGUUUUGUUUUGAUGCGUAGAUUCCAUAUUUGAUGCUUUUAGAGUAUUUUGGGAUCAUUCGUGGAAAGUAAGGCUGUGGAUUCGAGGUGUAGAGGACUUGUUUCAGCUUUUGAGGUAGGUUAUGACUUAACUCUUUCAGACUGGGAUGGGUAGUAAAUGAUGGUAUAAAAUGGAUGUUAAGGAUGGGAACUAAUCAUGAAAAAUCACUAUCUAUGUGUUGUGCCCGUGUGGGGGUCUAUAUGUGAUGUAAUUGUUGAAAAUGAGAUAUUAUGUGAUAUGUGUGACCGUGUGGGGUCCUAUGUGAUAUUCUUGAAUACAUGUGAAUAAUUAUAUUAUGUUGUUAAAAUUCUUAAUGUGGUACCAUUGGUGUAUUGUGAUUAUAUUCAUACUUUAUUGACU
rnacentral:lncRNA from 1 species